rnacentral:rRNA from 1 species
GAUGAACGCUGGCGGCGUGCCUAAUACAUGCAAGUCGAGCGAACGGACGAGAAGCUUGCUUCUCUGAUGUUAGCGGCGGACGGGUGAGUAACACGUGGAUAACCUACCUAUAAGACUGGGAUAACUUCGGGAAACCGGAGCUAAUACCGGAUAAUAUUUUGAACCGCAUGGUUCAAAAGUGAAAGACGGUCUUGCUGUCACUUAUAGAUGGAUCCGCGCUGCAUUAGCUAGUUGGUAAGGUAACGGCUUACCAAGGCAACGAUGCAUAGCCGACCUGCGAGGGUGGUCGGCCACACUGGAACUGAGACACGGUCCAGACUCCUACGGGAGGCAGCAGUAGGGAAUCUUCCGCAAUGGGCGAAAGCCUGACGGAGCAACGCCGCGUGAGUGAUGAAGGUCUUCGGAUCGUAAAACUCUGUUAUUAGGGAAGAACAUAUGUGUAAGUAACUGUGCACAUCUUGACGGUACCUAAUCAGAAAGCCACGGCUAACUACAUG